GAUGAACGCUGGCGGCGUGCCUAAUACAUGCAAGUCGAGCGAACAGACGAGGAGCUUGCUCCUCUGACGUUAGCGGCGGACGGGUGAGUAACACGUGGAUAACCUACCUAUAAGACUGGGAUAACUUCGGGAAACCGGAGCUAAUACCGGAUAAUAUAUUGAACCGCAUGGUUCAAUAGUGAAAGCCGGUUUUGCUGUCACUUAUAGCUGGAUCCGCGCCGCAUUAGCUAGUUGGUAAGGUAACGGCUUACCAAGACAACGAUGCGUAGCCGACCUGAGAGGGUGAUCAGCCACACUGGAACUGAGACACGGCCCAGACUCCUACGAGAGGCAGCAGUAGGGAAGCUUCCGCAAUGGGCGAAAGCCUGACGGAGCAACGCCGCAGGAGUGAUGAAGGUGUUAGGAUCGUAAAACUCUUUUAUUAGGGAAGAACAAAUGUGGAAGUAACUAUGCACGUCUUGACGGUACCUAAUCAGAAAGCCACGGCUAACUACGUG
rnacentral:rRNA from 1 species